UACGGGGGGCAAGGCGUUGUUCGGAAUUACUGGGCGUAAAGGGCUCGUAGGCGGCCAACUAAGUCAGACGUGAAAUCCCUCGGCUUAACCGGGGAACUGCGUCUGAUACUGGAUGGCUGAGUUUGGGAGAGGGAUGGCGGAAUUCCUGGUGUAGCGGGUGGAAAUGCGCAGAUAUCAGGAGGAACACCGUGGCGAAGGCGGCUCUGGGCCGAUACUCUGAGACGAAGACGUGGGGGGAGCAAACAGGAUUAGAACUCCGUA
rnacentral:rRNA from 1 species